UUCUUUGAGCCUUCUCUUAACUUUUCUUGUUUUUCAUCUGUAUAUAUAUACAUAUGCAACUCUGUUUUGAUAAAACUUUCAUAUUGGUGAGUGAUAUGUUGAUAAAAAAAACAUCAAGAUCAUAUAUGUAAUACUUUUAGGGUCAAAAGGCAAGUUUUUAUGAUUGAUUUUUGUAUGCAUUAUCCAAAUUCAUGGUUUUUCCACUGGCAGGGAUGAAUGCAUGCCUUGUGGCAUUGAGGGUGGAUGGAUGUGAAUGUGAAUGAGCUGAGAGAUCAUGUUGACAGAAGAAAGAGAGCACAACCCGCCAUUGGCCAAAGAGAUCUUCGCCACUGUUGGGAGUGUGCUCUCUCUUCUUCUGUCAUCAUCUCUUGCAUUCCCACAUCUGUGAUGUUACCAGCACCGUCUGAUCUGCAUCUAUCUAACACAUAUAUGAUUCUGUAUAAGUUUUCCUUUAAAGGUAAACAGAAGAAAGAGGUAGCAGUUGUCACCAAUUGAAGCAAGGAUGUGUCAAUUUUGUAGAAAUUAAUACUUUUCAAGAUGCAUGAGCAGAUGUUGGUGAUCUCUUAUUUACUUUCUGUCAAGUAGAAAAUUGCACCCUACAACUGUACAUGUCAUUUUACCGCAGAAUAAGAGAGAGAGAGGAAAAAAAAACCCUAGCAGCACUCUGGUCCACUUUCUCUUUGUCAAUAACCGACUGCAAGGAAGCUAAGGGGGGAGGUGGCCAGUGCCCCUCCUCCCCUCUGCCCAUCUUCCCCUUCCUCUCUUCAUCUUCCUUUCUUUUUCUCCCAUCUUUUUUCCCCUCUUCUCCUCCCAUUCCCCUCCUCAGAUAGUCUAGAUCUGUUUGGAUCUAGGUCUGUUUGUUUUGUUUGAUUGUUUUUGCAGUGUUCUAGGUGACUGGUAUUGUCUUUGUUCCCGUUGCGGUGAUAAUAGUGAUGCUGGAUUGUGUCUCUUCUCGGGAGAGUUGUGAUACUUGGUGGCUGAUGUUUUGUCUCUAUUUCAAUGGCGGCGGCAGUAGCGACGCUGGUGAUAGUUGUUGGGAUCUGGUGCUCUUCUCUACUUUGAGCCGACCGAAGAACUAUGCUUGGCCAUAUGAUGUUUUCUUCGUCAGGUUUUAAGUUAAAGUGGAGAGGUUCUCAAGGAUCAUUUUAAUGUUGUUUUGGUGUUCCUCCUUCGUGUUCUCUUCUAGUUUCUGUUAUGGUAUCCCUUGCAGUUUGUGUGGGUGUCAAAGGACUAUGAUUUUGCUCAUAGAAGGCUUCUUUUGACAAUUGGGAUAUUUUGAGGUCCUCUCCUGCGAGUUUACUAUAUGGGGUUUCUUGGUCCUCUCAUAUGGGUCUACUGUGUUGGUCUCUAGUUGCGUUUUGUGUUAGUUUUCGUUUUUGAUUUGUUCUUUUAUUGUAAUGAUUCAAAGUGACCUAAAUUGUACUCUCUUGUUAGUCCAUGACAUGUGUGAUACUCUUUCCUCCCAUGGGGUUUGUCCCAUGAGGUUGUCUUAGGAAGGUUUUAACAAGGCCAUUGUAUCAUGUCGCUCUUUGUACAUCUUUGGUUCUAUGAAUGAAUUCUCUUUUUAUAAAAAAA